GACGAACGCUGGCGGCGUGGAUUAGGCAUGCAAGUCGAACGGUAUCAUCCUUUCGGGGGUGAGAGAGUGGCGAACUGGUGAGUAACACGUAGGUUAUCUACCCUCAAGACGGGGACAACCCAGGGAAACUUGGGCUAAUACCGGAUGUGAGCAACUUUUAGUUGUUUGAAAGGUGGCGUAAGCUGUCGCUUGGGGAUGAGCCUGCGUCCUAUUAGUUAGUUGGUGAGGUAACGGCUCACCUAGGCAAUGAUAGGUAGGCGGCCUUAACGGGUGGUCGCCCACACUGGGAUUGAGAUACGGCCCAGACUCCUACGGGAGGCAGCAGUCGAGAAUAGUCUACAAUGGUCGGAAGACUGAUAGUGCGACGCCGCGUGAACGAUGAAUCCCUUCGGGGUGUAAAGUUCUUUUAUAUGUGAGCAGUGCUUCUUAUAUUAAACAGUAUGGGGAGAGAGAUAUUAGCAUAUGAAUAAGCAACGGCUAACUCCGUGCCAGCAGCCGCGGUAAACUCG
rnacentral:rRNA from 1 species